CUGCUGCUGGUCCAUGGAUCACACAUUGAGAGCUUGAAAGAAAAGAGAGCUUCCACUGUUCUCUUCUGAGGUCCUCAAUUCAUUCAAGUUGCUGGGCCUUGUGGUGAGGAUGACUGUAAGGUGAAGAUUAUGGGCUAAUUGUCACCUGCUACACGUGGAAGGAAGAGAUGUUUGGCAUGGCACUGAUCAAUGUGUAUAUUAACUGGGAAGUUUACCUCCAGGAGAAAAGAGAAAACCAGCUGUAUGAAUGGAAUUUGGAGAAAGGGCACAACCAUCAGACGAAGUGGGAGGAAGAAACAUUAACUUCAACAGCUGUUUCUUGACCCCGGCUGUCAGUCUUCCCAAGAAUAAAUUUUGGAGAGUCCUAUUUGAAACAAAGAGGGAGUUUUUGAGGAGAGAAAAGUUGGUUGGUUCCAGGGAGGCCGCCCAAAGAAGCAGGGAACAAGAUGUUUGCAGUUACCACGCAGCCUGCAAGCCUCUGCCGGGUGCAGGGAUGGAGCAAAGUAACUUGAAAGCUCCCCUCUCGGCGCCCUGUGCCUGCAGCUUCCCCCCCUAACGUGCGCCCAGAUCCAGCGCCGGUGGUAAGAGCCGUAGCUCGACUACAGUAAUUCCCCAGCUCGGGCGGCUUGAAACUGCUCGGGCUGAAUAGCAUUUGCUGUUCCGUCCUGCGACCGCCUCCCGCCGCCGCUGCCGCGCUCCCUGCAAAGCAGCUCUCAUUAUCCCGGAAGUUGUGCUGACACAGUCUCGCUGCCACCAGAAGUUUGUCAACAUCAAACUUCUCCUGUGUGGGGUACGUUCACCUUCUACGAGUAUUUAAUCGAGCCAACAAGCAAACAAACAAACCCAAAUAAA